CGACGACGGCAUCCGCCUAGGAGCGUGGCCGAAGCGUGCGGCCAGAGGACCCGGGAGUUCCUAAGAGAUGGUGAUGAUACUUGUCUGAGACAACAGCCCGGUGAGAGAAGAACUUCCCAGACAGCAAGGUGGCUUUGUUUGGCUCCUGACCGGCCUCUCGCCGUGACUCACAUCUUCAGCCCUCUGAGAGAUAAGUGGAGCCCACAGAGGGGAUCAAAGCAGGGCGGCGGUCGGGACUGAGAUCGGUUUGGGUUUUUGAGUGAGCUUUGGGGAUGGGGAGGUUCUGGAAAUGACCCCAUAGGCCCCAGUGAGGGAAAGCCUCACUUUGGCUAACAAUGCUGAGGCAGGCAGGGCAGAGCAGUCCCAGGGUGUGUUGUCACUUGUCUCUCGUGCCUUCUGUGUCUUAUGUGCAUCUCGUGUAAUGUGUCUCUUGCCUUAGUCCUCCCAGGGGUAUAUGAGAAACCCCGGGGUCCUUCCGUUCAUCUCCCAUCUUUGCGUUCCUCGGCCCGGCGCCGGCGAAGCUUCGAUUCGGGAGGUCAGACACGUGUCAGAAUCGCAUCCGUCUUCAGAAGCACGUGAUCUUUUUAGGUCUCGUUCUCAGCUGUGUCGACAGCUAUGUGCAGCAAUGUUUCUUUACAGUGGAUAAGGACUUGUGCCGAUUCAAAGGCAGGCAGAGGCUUCCAGCCACAGGAUUCUCGGGCAUCCGUCUUUGCGGUUCAUGGAAAAAGUUUUUCCGUUAGCAUCUUUUUCCUCCGGGGUCACCCGAGCCCGGCAGGCUCACCUCGGGUCCCUCCUCAGUCAUCUCGUUCAGCAUUCUCUCGGUCCUCGUGAGGACUUUCUCUCCCUGUCAUGUCCCCUCGUGUCACGGGUGUCUGGGGGUAUUUGGUCCGGAGCUGCUCUGCCCUGGCGCCCAGCCCGGUUGUAGGUGUUUAAGGACAAGUCCCGGGCACUUGUAAUUGGAGAUUUGUAAUAUGGGCUGUAGUUGGAGUCUAGCUGGUAUUCUUAUGUUGGCAGCAGGUGUCUGGAGCUGUGAAGUUACCCUGCAGCACUUUGACUUUUUUCCUAACUUUCUUUCAGAUUCAGACAGAUUGACCUCGUGGCAGAGCGCCGCAUCCCAGAUGAGGGGAUCCCCCUGAGAAGGAAGUAAAGCCGGAUAGCAGCGGGGAAGGCGAAGCAGGUGGAAGGCUGCCUCCUGAUGCUGUGCUGAGGCCCCCUCACUGACCUGCCAAGAGACCCCGUUUGCUUCUCUGGCGUACCCUGCGACGACGGCAUCCGCCUAGGAGCGUGGCCGAAGCGUGUGGCCGGAGGACCCGGGAGUUCCUAAGAGCUGGUGAUGAUACUUGUCUGAGACAACAGCCCGGUGAGAGAAGAACUUCCCAGACAGCGAGGUGGCUUUGUUUGGCUCCAGACCGGCCUCUCGCCGUGACUCACAUCUUCAGCCCUCUGAGAGAUAAGUGGAGCCCACAGAGGGGAUCAAAGCAGGGCGGUGGGUCAGGACUGAGAUCGGUUUGGGUUUUUGAGUGAGCUUUGGGGAUGGGGAGGUUCUGGAAAUGACCCCAUAGGCCCCAGUGAGGGAAAGCUUCGCUUUGGUUUGCAAUGCUGAGGCAGGCAGGGCAGAGCAGUCCCAGGGUGUGUUGUCACUUGUCUCUCGUGCCUUCUGUGUCUUAUGUGCAUCUUGUGUAACAUCUCUAUUGCCUUAGUCCUCCCAGGGGCUUAUGAGAAACCCUGGGGUCCUUCCGUUCAUCUCCCAUCUUUGCGUUCCUCGGCCCGGCGCCGGUGAAGCUUCGAUGCGGGAGGUCGGACAGGCGUCAGAAUUGCAUCUGUCUUUAGAAGCAUGUGAUCGGAUGUUUUCUUAGGUCUCGUUCUCAGCUGUGUCAACAGCUAUAUGCAGCAGUGUUUCUUUACAGUGGAUAAGGACUUGUGCCGAUUCAAAGGCAGGCAGAGGCUUCUAGCCACAGGAUUCUCGGGCAUCCGUCUUUGCGGUUCUUGGAAAAUAGUUGUUCCAUUAGCAUCUUUUUCCUCCGGGGUCACUGGAGCUCGGCAGGCUCGCCUCGGGUCCCUCCUCGGUCAUCUCGUUCAGCAUUCUCUCGGUCCUCAUGAGGACUUUCUUGUCUCAGAGAGUUUUCUCUCCCUGUCACGUCCCCUUGUCUCACGUGUCAUGGGUAUCUGGUGGUAUUUGGUCCGGAGCUGCUCUGCCCUGGCGCCCAGCCCGGUUGUAGGUGUUUAAGGAUAAGUCCUGGGCACUUGUAAUUGGAGAUUUGUAAUAUGGGCUGUAGUUGGAGUCUAGCUGGUAUUCUUAUGUUGGCAGCAGGUGUCUGGAGCUGUGAAGUUACCCUGCAGCACUUUGACUUUUUUCCUAACUUUCUUUCAGAUUCAGACAGAUUGACCUCCUGGCAGAACACCUGUCCCAGAUGAGGGGGUCCCCCUGAGAAGGAAGUAAAGCUGGAAAGCAGCGGGGAAGGCGAAGCAGGUGGGAGGCUGCCUCCUGAUGCUGUGCUGAGGCCCCCUCACUGACCUGCCAAGAGACCCGGUUUGCUUCUCUGGCGUACCCUGCGACGACGGCAUCCGCCUAGGAGCGUGGCCGAAGCGUGCGGCCGGAGGACCCAGGAGUUCCUAAGAGAUGGUGAUGAUACUUGUCUGAGACAACAGCCCGGUGAGAGAAGAACUUCCCAGACAGCAAGGUGGCUUUGUUUGGCUCCUGACCGGCCUCUCGCCGUGACUCACAUCUUCAGCCCUCUGAGAGAUAAGUGGAGCCCACAGAGGGGAUCAAAGCAGGGCGGCGGUCGGGACUGAGAUCGGUUUGGGUUUUUGAGUGAGCUUUGGGGAUGGGGAGGUUCUGGAAAUGACCCCAUAGGCCCCAGUGAGGGAAAGCUUCGCUUUGGUUUGCAAUGCUGAGGCAGGCAGGGCAGAGCAGUCCCAGGGUGUGUUGUCACUUGUCUCUCGUGCCUUCUGUGUCUUAUGUGCAUCUUGUGUAACAUCUCUAUUGCCUUAGUCCUCCCAGGGGCUUAUGAGAAACCCUGGGGUCCUUCCGUUCAUCUCCCAUCUUUGCGUUCCUCGGCCCGGCGCCGGCGAAGCUUCGAUUC